AUCAGGUCUCCAAGGUGAACAGCCUCUAGUCGAUAGAACGUGAAGUUUCCAUGAGUAGGAGGGCGUGGGUGUCGUUGCGCAGCCUUGGGCGUGAGCCUGGGUGAAACGGCAUCUAGUGCAGAUCUUGGUGGUAGUAGCAAAUAUUCCGGUCCAUGAAAAUCCGGGGGAGCGGCUACCGAUCUUGCCAGGUCGUACUCAUUGCGCUGCCCAUCGAAAGGGAAAAGGGUUAAGAUUCCCUUACCUGGACAAGGCGGCUGACGGUAACGUAAGCGAGCCCAAAGACAUCGGCAUUGGUCCUGGAAAGAGUUCUCUUUUCUUUUUAACAGCUCGAAGGCCCUGGGAUCAAAUCAUUCGGAGAUAGGGCUCAGAAGCUGGUAAAGCACCGCACUUCUUGCGGUGUCCGGUGCGCCAAUGACGGUCCAUGAAAAUCCGGGGGAGCGGCUGGGGUUUUCGCUGACAGGAGUGGGAUUGCUGCCCCUUCUGCGAAGGCUGCUCACCUGCGCCUCGGCU
rnacentral:lncRNA from 1 species